AGGGUUUAUUUAGUUCCCUCCAUCUUCGGUUUCAACUCCAUCAGCACCGUGUCCGGGAUGACCUCCAUGGCCAGGCUUGCCGUAAUGUCCAUAUCCACCGUGUCCGUACCCCUUGCCAUGGCCAUAUUUAUGUCCAUGGCCAUAUCCGUGUCCGUACCCAUAAUUAUCAGUUUCGUGCUUGGUUAAUCUUGUCCUGUCCUCCACACUCUCUACAAAAAUUAAUGAACGAAGGAUUGAAAAAAUAUACAUGAAAAUAAACUGUAAUAAGUAAAUUACACUAUUAAAUCAUAUAACUUAAUAACUUUUCCGAAUUUUAACAAAUCAAGAUUCUGAAUUGGAACAUAUACUAAAUAAUAAAACUUACGGGUGUGGGUUGCUUCAGCAAGCUCGCGAGCUGAUGAGACCUCAGAGGAAAUGAGAAGAACAAGAGCCAAUGCAAGGCCAAGAAGGAGGAAAGUCUUGGAUAAAGCCAUUGUUGUUGCUCAAGCUAAUUGCUAUUUAUGAUUCUUUAAUUGCUGUCUAGUUCCUUGAGCAAAUGCAAUGCGAGCAUCCCCUAUUUAUAUUAUUAUUUUUUGUCUAAACCACGAGGUGGUCCUGAGUG
rnacentral:lncRNA from 1 species